AAUUUGAAAUUAACACCGUAGACAGCGGGGGCCUGGGGCUUAAUCAUCCCGCCGAGGUACAAUAUAAAGAAUAUUGACCUUGUCUCGUGUCUGCGAGGCAGGGUUUGCUUUUU
rnacentral:sRNA from 1 species